rnacentral:ncRNA from 1 species
GUGUAAGUAUGAACAAAUUCAGACUGUGAAACUGCAAAUGGCUCAUUAAAUAAGUUAUAGUUUGUUUGGUGGUAUCUACUACUUGGAUAACCACAGUAAUUCUAGAGCUAAUAUGUGCAACAAACCCCGACUUUUGGAAGAGACGUGGGUGGUGCCCGUGCACAAGCCUUAGUAUGCCUUCAUCUCCUCUACUCCCCAAUGGUGAGCUAUCAUGUCAAGCGGGACUUACUUUAGCUUUCAAUGUCCGCAUGAGCAGCAACACACGACAUCUAUUACUGGGCAUUGGGGCUGGUGUUGGGCGAG